AUUGAACGCUGGCGGCAUGCCUUACACAUGCAAGUCGAACGGCAGCACGGGUGCUUGCACCUGGUGGCGAGUGGCGAACGGGUGAGUAAUACAUCGGAACGUACCUUAUCGUGGGGGAUAACAAAUUGAAAAACUUGCUAAUACCGCAUAAUACUCUGAGGAGGAAAGCGGGGGAUUGGUAAGAACCUCGUUCGAGUAGAGCGGCCGAUGGCUGAUUAGCUAGUUGGUGAGGUAAAGGCCCACCAAGGCAACGAUCAGUAGCAGGUCUGAGAGGAUGAUCUGCCACACUGGAACUGAGAAACGGUCCAGACUCCUACGGGAGGCAGCAGUGGGGAAUUUUGGACAAUGGACGAAAGUCUGAUCCAGCAAUGCCGCGUGAGUGAAGAAGGCCUUCGGGUUGUAAAGCUCUUUUGUCAGUGAAGAAAACUUUAGUAAUAACACUAUUAAAGCAUGACGGUAACUGAAGAAUAAGGACCGGCUAACUACGUGCCAGCAGCCGCAGUAA
rnacentral:rRNA from 1 species